rnacentral:rRNA from 1 species
CACGUAGGGCGCGAGCGUUGUCCGGAAUUAUUGGGCGUAAAGAGCUCGUAGGUGGUUUGUUACGUCCGCUGUGAAAACCUAGGGCUUAACCCUGGGCUUGCAGUGGAUACGGGCAGACUAGAGGUAGGUAGGGGAGAAUGGAAUUCCUGGUGUAGCGGUGAAAUGCGCAGAGUAUCAGGAGGAACACCGGUGGCGAAGGCGGGUCU